GUGGGGAAUCUUCCGCAAUGGACGAAAGUCUGACGGAGCAACGCCGCGUGAGUGAAGAAGGUUUUCGGAUCGUAAAGCUCUUUCGUUAGGGACGAACGUGCUCUUUGUGAAUAAUGAGGAGUAAUGACGGUACCUAAAUAAGAAGCCACGGCUAACUACGUGCCAGCAGCCGCGGUAAUACGUAGGUGGCAAGCGUUGUCCGGAAUUAUUGGGCGUAAAGCGCGCGCAGGCGGGAUAUCAAGUCUGUCUUAAAAGUGCGAGGCUCAACCUCGUGAGGGGACAGAAACUGGUAUUCUUGAGUGCAGGAGAGGAAAGUGGAAUUCCUAGUGUAGCGGUGAAAUGCGUAGAUAUUAGGAGGAACACCAGUGGCGAAGGCGACUUUCUGGACUGUAACUGACGCUGAGGCUCGAAAGCCAGGGGAGCGAACGGGAUUAGAUACCCUUGUAGUCC
rnacentral:rRNA from 1 species